rnacentral:rRNA from 1 species
UCAAGCGAACAAGGGCCCAUGGUGGAUGCCUUGGCGCUGAGCGGCGAUGAAGGACGUGACUACCUGCGAAAAGCUUCGGGGAGCCGGUAAGUAGGCUUUGAUCCGGAGGUGUCCGAAUGGGGAAACCCGGCGGCUUCGGCCGUCACCUGCACCUGAACACAUAGGGUGCAUGGAGCGAACGCGGGGAACUGAAACAUCUUAGUACCCGCAGGAAAAGAAAUCAAAAGAGAUUCCGUCAGUAGCGGCGAGCGAACGCGGAAGAGCCCAAACCGGCGGGCUUGCCUGCCGGGGUUGUGGGACCGCGACAUGGUAUGCGGAUGGAUAGCUGAACACUCUGGAAAGUGUGGCCAUAGUGGGUGACAGCCCCGUAAGCGAAAUCCUGAAGCAGCCUAGCGGUAUCCCGAGUAGGACGGGACACGUGCAACCCUGUCUGAAUCCGGGGGGACCACCCUCCAAGGCUAAAUACGUCUCAGCGACCGAUAGUGAACCAGUACCGUGAGGGAAAGGUGAAAAGCACCCCGGUGAGGGGAGUGAAAUAGACCUGAAACCAUGGGCCUACAAGCAGUCGAAGCACUAUGCCGCUUUGCUUGCAGAGCGGAAUGUGUGACGGCGUACCUUUUGUAUAAUGGGCCAACGACUUAUGCCUCAGUGGCAAGGUUAAGCAUUCAUGCGGAGCCGUAGCGAAAGCGAGUCUUAACAGGGCGAACGAGUCACUGGGGAUAGACCCGAAGCCAGGUGAUCUAUCCAUGAGCAGGUUGAAGGUGGGGUAACACUCACUGGAGGACCGAACCGGGAUCGGCUGAAGACGAUUCGGAUGACUUGUGGAUAGGGGUGAAAGGCCAAUCAAACCUGGCGAUAGCUGGUUCUCUCCGAAAGCUAUUUAGGUAGCGCCUCAUGUAUCACCGCCGGGGGUAGAGCACUGGAUGGGCUAGGGGGCCGCGAGGCUUACCAAACCUAACCAAACUCCGAAUACCGGCGAGUGCGAGCAUGGGAGACAGACUGCGGGUGCUAAGGUCCGUGGUCGAGAGGGAAACAACCCAGACCAUCAGCUAAGGUCCCCAAGUGUAUGUUAAGUGGAAAACGAUGUGGGAAGGCACAGACAGCCAGGAGGUUAGCUUAGAAGCAGCUACCCUUUAAAGAAAGCGUAAUAGCUCACUGGUCGAGUCGGCCUGCGCGGAAGAUAUAACGGGGCUCAAACAUACCACCGAAGCUAUGGAUGCGCGCUUGCGCGCAUGGUAGGAGAGCGUUCCGUAAGCCUGUGAAGCCGUACUGAAAGGAGCGGUGGAGGUAUCGGAAGUGAGAAUGUUGGCAUGAGUAGCGAUAAAACGGGUGAAAAACCCGUUCACCGAAAGCCCAAGGUUUCCUGCGCGAUGCUAAUCAGAGCAGGGUUAGUCGGCCCCUAAGGCGAGGCGGAAACGCGUAGUCGAUGGGAAACAGGUUAAUAUUCCUGUACCGGCUUUGGAUGCGAUGGGGUGACGGAGAAAGGUAGCUGAUCCGGGCGCUGGUUGUCCCGGUACAAGCGUGUAGGUGGAGAGCUUUGGCAAAUCCGGGCUCUCAUUCAACACCGAGGCGUGAUGUGGGGUCCUGACUACGGUCUGGACGAACUCAGUGAUCCUAUGCUUCCAGGAAAAACCUCUAAGCUUCAGUCCAAGGCCGACCGUACCGUAAACCGACACAGGUAGGCGAGGCGAGAAGCCUAAGGUGCUUGAGAUAACUCUGGUUAAGGAACUCGGCAAAUUGGCCCCGUAACUUCGGGAGAAGGGGUGCCCCCGGUAUGUGAAGCGGCUUGCCCGUGGAGCAGAAAGGGGUUGCAGUGACCAGGGGGUAGCGACUGUUUACUAAAAACACAGCACUCUGCGAAGCCGCAAGGCGAUGUAUAGGGUGUGACGCCUGCCCGGUGCCGGAAGGUUAAGGGGUGGGGUUAGCACUUCGGUGCGAAGCCCUAAACCGAAGCCCCGGUAAACGGCGGCCGUAACUAUAACGGUCCUAAGGUAGCGAAAUUCCUUGUCGGGUAAGUUCCGACCUGCACGAAUGGCGUAACGACUUCCCCACUGUCUCAACCAGAGACUCAGCGAAAUUGAACUCGCUGUGAAGAUGCAGCGUUCCCGCGGCUAGACGGAAAGACCCCGUGGACCUUUACUACAGCUUGGCAUUGGAUCUAGGCAUGUCUUGUGCAGGAUAGGUGGGAGGCUUUGAAGCAGCGGCGCCAGCCGCUGUGGAGCCGUCCUUGAGAUACCACCCUGGAUAUGCUUGGGUUCUAACCGCGGCCCGUGAUCCGGGUCCGGGACAUUGUCUGGCGGGUAGUUUGACUGGGGCGGUCGCCUCCCAAAGAGUAACGGAGGCGCGCGAAGGUAUCCUCAGGCUGGUCGGAAAUCAGCCAUUGAGCGCAAGGGUAGAAGGAUGCCUGACUGCGAGACUGACAAGUCGAGCAGGGACGAAAGUCGGUCCUAGUGAUCCGGCGGUUCUGAGUGGUAGGGCCGUCGCUCAACGGAUAAAAGGUACCCCGGGGAUAACAGGCUGAUCGCGCCCAAGAGUUCAUAUCGACGGCGCGGUUUGGCACCUCGAUGUCGGCUCAUCACAUCCUGGGGCUGGAGCAGGUCCCAAGGGUUCGGCUGUUCGCCGAUUAAAGUGGUACGUGAGCUGGGUUUAGAACGUCGUGAGACAGUUCGGUCCCUAUCUACCGUGGGCGUUGGAGAGUUGAGAGGAGCUGUCCCUAGUACGAGAGGACCGGGAUGGACGAACCUCUGGUGUUUCUGUUGUCCCGCCAGGGGCAUCGCAGGGUAGCCACGUUCGGAACGGAUAACCGCUGAAAGCAUCUAAGCGGGAAGCCGGCCUCAAGAUGAACUCUCCCGGAGCCUUGAGCUCCCUGAAGGGCCCUGGAAGACGACCAGGUUGAUAGGCUGGGUGUGGAAGCGUGGCAACACGUGGAGCUGACCAGUACUAAUUGCCCGUGCGGCUUGACCAU